GAUGAACGCUGGCGGCGUGCCUAAUACAUGCAAGUCGAGCGAACGGACGAGAAGCUUGCUUCUCAGAUGUUAGCGGCGGACGGGUGAGUAACACGUGGAUAACCUACCUAUAAGACUGGGAUAACUUCGGGAAACCGGAGCUAAUACCGGAUAAUAUUUUGAACCGCAUGGUUCAAAGGUGAAAGACGGUCUUGCUGUCACUUAUAGAUGGAUCCGCGCUGCAUUAGCUAGUUGGUAGGGUAACGGCUUACCAAGGCAACGAUGCAUAGCCGACCUGAGAGGGUGAGCGGCCACACUGGAACUGAGACACGGUCCAGACUCCUACGGGAGGCAGCAGUAGGGAAUCUUCCGCAAUGGGCGAAAGCCUGACGGAGCAACGCCGCGUGAGUGAUGAAGGUCUUCGGAUCGUAAAACUCUGUUAUUAGGGAAGAACAUAUGUGUAAGUACCUGUGCACAUCUUGACGGUACCUAAUCAGAAAGCCACGGCUAACUACGUG
rnacentral:rRNA from 1 species